CCAGCCUCGCGCGCGACCGAACCAGCGGACGCUCCAUCAUCGCCGGUCACGUGUCGCUCCGCCGGGCGAAGCCUGCGCAACCUUCAUCGCCGGAUGCAACCACACGCUAGCGUUUGCAGAUGAGAUGAGUUAUGAGGAUGAGAGGUGAAACAUGAGAUCCUAAAGCAACUCCAAGACUGAGAAAUACAACCCAACCACCACCAGCUUGAGUUCUAUGCGACUUACUCGUCAGGAAGUUCUCUUUUAACUUACUUCUAUUUUAUUUUAUGGAUCUCCCUCGUUUGAUUGAAUUUUUUUCAUAUUGAGGACAAUGUAAGGAGUAAGUGUGGGGGAGAUGUGGU
rnacentral:lncRNA from 1 species